GACGAACGCUGGCGGCGUGCUUAACACAUGCAAGUCGAACGGAGUGGCGAACGGGUGAGUUUUAAGUGAGUAACCUGCCCUCAACUGUGGGAUAAGCCUGGGAAACUGGGUCUAAUACUGCAUAGUGGGGGAUGGGGUCGCGGUCUAUCAGCUUGUUGGUGGGGUGAUGGCCUACGAAGGCGGUGGCGGGUAGCCGGCCUGUGAGGGUGGUGGGCCACAUUAGGAGUGCCAGACGGCCCAGGCACCUACGAGAGGGAGCAGUGGGGGAUAUUGCGCAAUGGGCGCGAGCCUGAUGCAGGGACGCCGCGUGGGGGAUGAAGGCUUUAGGGUUGUAAACCUGUUUCGGUACAGAACGGGUAUGUGCAGAAGAAGCGCCGGCUAACUACGUGCCAGCCGCCGCGGUAAUUC
rnacentral:rRNA from 1 species